GGGUUCAAGACAGGGUUUUUCUUCGUAAUCUUGGCGGUCCUAGAACUAGCUCUCUCAACCAGGCUGGCUUCGAACUCUCAGAGAGCCGCCUGCCUUCUGCCUCCCAAGUGCACGAGCUGCCACAGCCUGGCAGGUUUGUUUGUUUUUUUGAGACGGGGGUGUGUGUGUGGGGUGUGGUGGUGGUGGUGGAGGGGGUCUUACUACAUUUCUCUGGUUGGCCUGGAACUCACUGUGUAGUAGACCCGGCUGGCCUUGAACCCCCAGAGAUUCGUAAACGUGACUGGAUUUAUUUGGUUUUGUUUUUUGACACGGGGUCUCCUGUAGCCCAUGUUGGCUCUAAAUGCAAUGCAUAGUUGGGGAUGCCCCUGGGUCUCCGGUUCUCCUGCUUCUUUACCGCUUAAAUGCUGGGCUCAGAGACAUCUACCAGCAGGCUCAGUAGUGUGAAGAUAAAACUCUUUAUGCAGAGGUACAAGAAAAAAGAAUUUGAGUCCUGCCUAGGGAAAGUCCUACAGCUCUCAGCUGUUUCUGAAUCGCUUGCAGAUGAUGUCGAGCCUGGUGGCACUCACCUAUGAUCCUACCGUUUGGAAGGCUGAGGCGGGAGUUCAAGACCAGCCUGGGAUACCCAGUAACACCAUCUCACUUACACACAUACACACACACACACACACACACACACUCACUCACACAAAGCAUGAUGUCAGGACUAUAUAAUCCCAGUGUUCAGGUAGAGGUAAAAGGGGUUCAAGGCCAUCCUUGACUACAUAGUAAAUUCAAGGCCAGCCUGAAUGACAUGAAACCCUGUCUCAAAAAACAAAAAGGGGGCUGGAGAGAUGGCUCAGCGGGUAAGAGCACUGACUGCUCUUCUGAAGGUCCUGAGUUCAAAUCCCAGCAACCACAUGGUGGUUCACAACCAUUCGCAAUGAGAUCUGGUGCCCUCUUCUAAUGUGUCUGAAAACAGCUACAGUGUACUUACGUAUAAUAAAUAAAUCUUUAAAAAA
rnacentral:lncRNA from 1 species